AAAAUGACUCUCGGCAAUGGAUAUCUCGGCUCUCGCAUCGAUGAAGAGCGCAGCGAAAUGCGAUACGUGGUGCGAAUUGCAGAAUCCCGCGAACCAUCGAGAAUUUGAACGCAAGUUGCGCCCGAGGCCAGCUGGCCAAGGGCACGUCCGCCUGGGCGUCAAGCGUUGCGUCGCUCCGUGCCAUCUCCAUCCCACCCAACGGGUGUGCAUGCGGAUUGGCCGGAUGUGCAGAGUGGCUCGUCGUGCCCACGGACGCGGCGGGCUGAAGUGCGGGUGAUCGUCU
rnacentral:rRNA from 1 species